AAAGAAGAGAUGAGAGAGAGAGACUGACUGACUGACUGCAGUAGAGAGAAAAGGCUUCUUCUAGGUGGAAGGCUUCUCUCCACCAAAUAGGGGAAGCAAGCAAGCUAACUGUGUUUGGGUAAGGGCUGGCACUCAGAAGCCAGCAUAAUAAGGCAACACCCUGGAGAGAAGGCAGGGAAAGUUAUUCCUUUUUUGUGUAGGAGUCUUUGUUUGGUUGAAGAUUACUGUAUGGGUCUACCCCAAGACCCACUUUGAAAGUACCAAACAAUAAAGCAGACUGAGGGGAAAAAAAACCCCUCUGGAGUAGGAUUGAUUUACUCUAGGCCCCCUACCCACUAGACAGGGGAGAUGCUGAGGCUGACAAGUUGAAAAGGAUGCCUUGCCAUAAUAUAAUAUCCUUUAGAGACUAUUGUUCAGAAGUGAAAUUCUGGCCCGUUGAAAUCAAUGCCAGAAUACCCACGGAAUUCAAUAGAGCCAAGAUUUCACGGCAGGAGAGAGAGAGAAGAAAACACUGCACAACAGUGUGUUUGGGCAAGCAAAUGUUUGCAGCAGGCUGAAUCCUGCCCUGCAUUUAUCGUAAACAAGCAGGAGAAGGGAUGGUGCCAUGAUGACUAGCUGGUUUACAGGAUCAGUGUACAAGCUCAUGUAUCGAGUGAUACGUCAAUGCCCUCAGCUGGACGGAUUAUCAGAUCAAUUCAAGUGCUGAUCAGUUUGCUAAACUAUACAAUGAUGGAGCCCUGAGAAGAGGUUUAAGAACUAAUACUACUGACAAGUAAUGGAGAGUCAUCAUCUUCCUUUUUUAAAAUUUUUUUCUUUUUUCUUUUCCAUUUUUUACUGCUUCAGAAUGGUACUGGAUACUCAACAUUGGUGAUAUUGAAGUCUUAAUUAUCUGCAGGACGGAUGCAGAAGAUGGAAAGCUCCAUUACACUACCCCACCAAUGCUAAGCGGAGGUUGAAGGGAAAAUAAAAUCUCCAUGCCCUCUGUUCAGAUUUUGGCUGCUCUUCUGAGUUUGAAAAUGAGGGUGCUAAUGUCAAUGCUGAGUUUUGUGGUAUGGAUACCUGUCUCCUGGAAACUGGACUGAACCCUCCACCCCCAAAAUAAUGUCACAUAGGUGUUAAAACAGCCAAUGGAAAAGUAACAAUUCUUGGUCACUAAUGUUCUGGGCUGGAUUACAGCUGGCAAUAUACAUGUCACAUUAUCAUUCCUUUUUAAUAUUCACCUAACUCAAAUUAUAUUCUUGUCUUGUUACAGCUAAAGUCAUUAGUUAAAUUUAUGCACUCUGGAGGGAGGAAACAUGUCUACCUCUCUGUCUGCACAUCACUUGGCACAAGAGGCUCCUGAUGCUGACUAUAGAUAAAUAAUAUAGCAAUAUUAAUAAUUAAUGGAGAAGAGCUUUCUAUUGCCCCAAUCCUGCAAAAAUAUGUGCCACCCAGACACUUGGUCCCAGGUAUAGUUUCCCUGACGUCAGUGGAACUCCGCGUAGGCAGAGUCCAAAUAUUUAGGCCACCCCAUAUCAUGAAAUGGUAUUACAUCUUUAACUGUAAUUUACACAAUCCCUUAUGGAAAUUGCAGUUAAGCAACAAGACCCCGUAGGCAUGAAUCCUGCGGAGACAACAGCAUGUUUGUAUAAGACAAAAAGAUGCAGAUAGGGUGCCACAAGCAGCUAAGAAUAUAGCAGGGGAACACACAGACUCCUGAGUGUGUUGAUUAUUCCAGAAUGACAUGUGAAAUGAUAUCUAUUAAUGUGAUUAUAAAAUAGCCCUAAAUGAUUUAAUGAUUUUGUUUUAUUUUUUAAAAAAUAUAAGCGAUUGGGGUGGGUGGGAAAGCUGAUUUUACUAUGUAUUCCAAUUGAUCUUUUUUUAAAAAAAAAAAAAAAUCAAAAACAUUGUAUAGCAGCUCUUCCCCCUCCAUCCUACAUUCUCCCUCCUCUCUCUCUAUUUAUAAUUUCUAGGGGUUUUAAUACAUCUCCUAGUAAGGUUCCAAUAAUGGUGGUGGAAUGUCAGGACUAUCAGGAAUGUCACCACUCUAUCAAAAUGGCAAAACAGGGUUUAUUAACUCCAUCUGACAAUUCAGUUCACAAAGGGAGACACUGUGGGUAAAAUCUUGACCUCACUGAAGUAAUCUGCAUUCUCUUCAAUAAAGGCAAGAUUUUACCCUUUAUUUGCAACCAUUAUACAUUUUAUACAAUACCUUGCAUGAAUGAACCUUCUACCACACUGGUGCUACUCCACGCCAUACGUAUUAUCAUUUAAAAUAGUUUUUAAAUGAAAGUUAUACUAAUAACAAUAUAGCAUUAAUAAUGGGCUAGAUCCUCAACAGUUUUAUUGACAUUCAAUAUAGUGACACCAAUUUACACCUUCUGAGGAUAUGGUAUAGUAUAUGUAAUACUACAUUGUUGUGGCCUAAUAUGUGACUUUGAAAGAACAGUUCUGUUUCAAAAUAUCAGAUGGUUCCAAUGAGAUGUUAGCUGAAAUGUAAGGCUCAGUUUAGAUCAUAAAAAUAAUUUUGUGAAUUCUAGAAGUAAAUGUUUUGCAGGCAAGGUUAUUUUUUAGUAUCUAAAUGUUGAGGGGUGGAAUUUUUUUGUCCAAGCCUUUUUUCCACUGAAAAAUGCAGACUCAGGUUGAUUCCAACUGAUUUCAACAAAUGGCUUCAAUCUAAAAAACAAAACAAAAUGGAAAUGGUGAAACAGUUAAUUUCAGCAUUUCCAAAAUGCAAAAAUUUGACUUCUCAUUUCAGAACAGUUUUGUUUUGGAAUUUCCCUCAGUUUUUUUUUUCAAAAAAUUAAAACCAUAUCUAUUCUUAAAAAACAAAAGAACCACCAGCCCUCAAAAUCUAAAUGAAACAUUUUGUUCCCAGUUGACCAAAAACAGUGUUUGGGGUGUGAGAGUGAGGAAAGGGGUUUGCACCCAAAUUGAAUAUUUAUUCACAUAGCCCUCUCCAACAAUGCAAUGUGGCUGAUGCGUACUGCUGAAUUUUGAGCCAACUGCCUCCAUUUAUACCCUGGACCUAGAUUACCUUUCCCUACUAAGAAGUUGAUGCUAGGGGUUGUUUUGUUUUUCUACUGAUGUUAUUCUGUUUUUUUAACAUAGCUCCAUAUUUAGCAAGGAAAAUUAAUAUGCAGUCAUGAAAAAUAUCCUGUUUAAUUAUUUAUGAUUAUGGCUUCAGAAGGUGUGCGGUCUGUUUCCAGAACAAGUAAUGAAGUUUCAUUUGUUGUGAGUGAAAAAUGUAUUAGUAGGUUCUACAGGUUUCAGAGUCAUCCGCACUUCAACUUGUACCAGGAAUUUGUGAUUGAUCCUCUUAAAGUUGUCAUCUUGAUGGGCCAUGUUGUAUGUCCAAUAUACUACUAAGUACCACCAAGUUCAUUUUCCAUCUUUUGAGAAGAUUCUUUGCUAUUCACAAGUAAAAUCUUAACUAACAACUUCCUUGAGUUUGAGGCACUUUUCUCAAUUUGCAGAUAAUGAACUAUGACUAACAAAUGAUAUCGUUACUCAUUUUACUAAAAACUGUAAUAAAUAAAUCAAAUAUGGGAACCAGACACUACAUCAAUAGCAAUAAACAUUUAACUUGUCUUCACUGAACACCAAACAAAAAAUAUUAAUGUGUAAAAUAGAAAGUGUUCAGUAUAAUGUUGGCUUUACAUAAUUGAAAAACAUAAAAUGAACAAGGAAUUUGAUCCUGGCUUCAUCUUUCCUUACCUGCCUGCCUGUUUCAGAUAAUUGAAUUGCAUUUAAUUCAGGUUUUCCACUAAGGAUGGCAUCAGUGAUGUUCCACAAAUUGCCCUGCUAGAAAUGCUGAAGAGCAGUGCUGUCUGCAUGUCACUUUCUCAUGUUGGACCAAAUGCAUUACCCCUGGGGUAAGCUUUAUGUCUACCAGGAUGAGAAGGGAAGUCCCCAGCUGGCUGCCAGAUCCAGGCACAUAUGACCCAGUGCUGUCAAGCCACCUAAUAAAGCAAUGCCUUUGUUUUCUUCCCAAAUCUCUACCAGCCUUUAUUCCUGUCCCAGAUGUCCUUCUGCAGCUGCCCAAUCCCACCCAGUUCCUGUUUGCAAUGCUCUCAAUUAAAAAAUUAGUAAUUAAAAUGAAGUAUUCUUUGCCCAUAUUACCGCCAGCCUUUACAGUGUUCCAUCUGCCCAUUCCCAGUCCUAUCCUUAUUUUGAGAAGACUCAUUUGUAUGUGAUCUAAUCUCUGCCAGGAAUUCCCUAGGCCCAUCUGCUCCCUUUCUGGGUGAUCAGUCCCACCCAGACAACUAUUUACCCUAUUCUCAGCUCCAACAAAUAAUUUUUAAAAAAUGUUUUUUUUUUGAGAAUUACUUUAUAAUUCUCUACCAAAAUCAACUCCCAUCAAUCCCUUUCCACAUUGUCUAGAGGUCACAUUGAUGACAAUAUGUCUCAGAUGGGCCAAUAUACUACCAGCUAUGGGAGGAGGCAUUAUCUAAAUAACAUAUCAGUUUUUCACAGAUUGUGCAGUUGCAUUCUACCCACUUAUUAGUCUAGGGAUGGAGAGUUUCCCAAAUUCAGUAUCCUGCUUUUGGGAACACAGUUGUGGUCACCAUUAAGCCUCACUCCCAGCCAACAUUUGAAUUAAAAUACUUAGCAUUUUAAAUAAUGCUGUGUAAAAAUAAAACAAAGCAGAUUCUCCAUUUAAAGAUACACAAACAAAUUAUUUUACAUUUUCUUUUAAAUUUGACAGUUAUUGUUUCUUCCAUCUUUCAGGCUUCUCACUGUCUCAUUGAUUUCUUCUUCAGCUGUAGAUGUACAUUUUAGAAAAGAAUGAUCUACCCUGAUGCUAUCGCACCCAGACACUGGGCUAGAAAAUUAGGUUGUGUUAAAACACAGCCUAGAUGAGUUGUGCCAAUUACAUGAUGUUAAACAUGACUUAACAGUCGGUGUACACAUGGGCAAGAUGUGUUUAACAUUGUCAGCUAGUCAUGGUUAACCCUAUGGUUCCAGGCAAUUGGAAUGUUUGUCUGCUGAAGAAGACAAUCUCAAUUUCCUCUUCUUCCUGAUCAGAGAAAAAUCUUCCUAAUAUGAGGGCCGGACAUCCAAUGGAAAAAUCCAGUCCCUUAGGAGAUGAUUUGACAUGCAGUCCAGUUUAUACCUAUUCAUAUUCUCAUCCAAGUGCUAAAUAUCCUUGGUAUUAA